rnacentral:lncRNA from 1 species
GCUUGUUGGAUGGGGAUAACUUUAUGUCAAGUGAUUGUUCAGAGAAUCAGGUUAUGUGAAAUGUAGGCCAUUCGGUUUGAAUUUACGUCUGUUGGUCUAUUUUUGUUUUUGUUUUUUGCUAUGCCAUUGUCAGUUUAUUUUCGAUUUAUGAGUUUGAAUGUCCAUUUUGUAUCUUUCGUCUCUUUUUUAAACCAAAUAAUAUUUACACGCAAAC